CCGAUUCUCCCCUCUCCCAAUCGCCCCAGCACCCCUCCCCCCCCCUCUCUCUCUCUCUCGCUGCCCCGCUUCUCUCCCUCCUGGCCAGGGUUUUCUCCACCGCCGGCGCCGGGCGCCGCCUUCCUACCUCCUCCACCGAUACAUAGCUUCCAUGGCCAGACGACCGCUCCGCGGGAUCCUGCCGCCGGCCGCCUCUCGCUUCCCUCGCUGCCUCUGCACGAACUUCCACCGCCAGCCACGGAGCCGCCGCUUCCCUAGAUCCCGCCGCCAUCCAUCGCUUGCCUCCCGAUCGCUAAAAAAAGUUUCCCUGAUCCCAUCCUUUCACGACGACGACCGUGGCGGCGGCGCGGACGAGAAGACGAGGGCGUCACCGGCCGGCCACGCGCCUCCGACCUAGCGGACAAGGGCAACAUCUCCUCCGCGCUCAUGCGGCCGCCGCACGUCUCAAUCCUCACCAUCUCCGCGCACGUCUUCCAAGAGCCCACCACGCCCCCAGCAUUUCCCGUGUGUUGCCGCCAAGCUGCUACAGCGCCAACUACAGCCAAUCCCCUCAGAAGCUGCACAAGCGCUAGACUUGGCUGUUAAUCUUUUUUUUUUGGAAAUUGGUACACUCAACUUAGCUGCAAGAUACUGAAGGUGAAUGUCCAUUUAAUUUUGUCUAAACUUAGUAUUUUGCUAUCUUCUUACAACAUGUGGUAAUUAACAAAUUACUACUUACAUAAUCAUUGAUCAUUUCUUCAAUCUGUAUGCCUGCACGAGGAUGUCUUUCAAAAGGAAAUACAUGCUUUCAGUUAUCGCAGGUGUCAUAAUUACCAUGAUGUUGAAUUUUAUGCAUUUUUUAGACAUUCGUGAGAUAUAUCUGCAAGAACAAAAUUUAGAGAAGGCUUCAGAUUACAUGGAAAGGGCUACUGAUCUUUUUGACAGUGAGGGGCAGACAUCUCAAUCAAACACCAUCAAGAAGAAAGUUAUAGAAAUUGCAAACAGAACAUGUUAUAGAGCUGCCUACGUAAUGAAGCUUGCACAAUCUUGCCGUUUUAUAUUUUGUUCUAACAACUAAGUAGGUUAUGGCUCAAAUAUCAGUACUGCUCUACUCUGCCGCCUCACCAACUCUACUGUGGGUCAUGGGAUUUGUUGGCCUGUGGUGGCCCCUGCUGGGUGUCGUGGCUUCGACCCUUACACUGAGAAGCCAGAGCUGUACCAGACUGACCCCUCCGGCACCUUCUCCGCCUGUUAGGCGAAUGCCACCGGCCCCGAAUCCAACUCCAUGCACGAGUUCCAGGAGAAGAAUCAUCAAGCUUACCAUCAGAGCCUUCCUCAAGGUGUGGAUUUGAUGAAAACGCUCAUGUCACCGGAGUACAGUUCUGGUUCUUUUUACUUGCCAAAAGGGUUGCAAUAAGGCCUCCCUGCUAUUAGGUUCCAUUUCCAUAUCAUUUUCAUCAACUAAGGCUACAUUGCACAUGGUCAUGGUGAUAAGUCUCCGAUUCUCAUUACUGGUUUUGUUCUUCUAAAUAAGAUGUACACAACUUCUGUAAUUGCUCUGUAUGUUAGCUAAUGUUUUCUUCUUUGUUGUGUUGCAUCAGAUGGUAACUGAUGACGUAUCCAUACUAAGCAUUUGGAUUAUUCACUGCCAUUCUUCCAUGCAAAGAACGGAGUUAAUUUAAUUAGCUAUUUGUACUCUUCUACUUUGUUGCUUUCUUGAACAUAUAACUGUUAUUCUGGCUUUGCUGAAGAUGAAAUGGUAUAUUUGGGUAUAGAACCAGUGAUUAGAUGUAUGCAUAUUACAAUGUUUUCUUCAUAUACAUCCGUAAAAAGGGAAAGAAUAAGAGACUCUUUAAGAGUGGAAAAUACGGUGAGGUAACAGAAGGACGAAGUCCAUCCUGUUGGAAAAAUUGCUCCGGCUGUAUGCUACUUAUAUGAAUUUGUUUAAUGUGCCCAAUUCAUUCUC